CGCACGGUGGCGUAGUGGUUAGCACGUUCACCUCCCACCUCCAGGGUCCAGGGUUUGAUUCCCGCCAGGGCCG